AUAUCUCUCUGUACGGGAAGGAUGAGAAGCUUCUACCAGGGUUCGAUUCGAGCGCAGCGAGAAAGCGUUGCCGCAGGCAACGACCCGAAGGGCGAAGCGCGCAGCGCUGAGU
rnacentral:sRNA from 4 species